rnacentral:rRNA from 1 species
CCUACGGGUGGCAGCAGUGGGGAAUAUUGCACAAUGGGGGAAACCCUGAUGCAGCGACGCCGCGUGAGUGAAGGAGUAUUUCGGUAUGUAAAGCUCUGUCAGCAGGGAAGAAAAUGACGGUACCUGACCAAGAAGCCCCGGCUAACUACGUGCCAGCAGCCGCGGUAAUACGUAGGGGGCAAGCGUUAUCCGGAUUUACUGGGUGUAAAGGGAGCGUAGACGGCAGGGCAAGUCCGGAGUGAAAGGCGGGGGCUCAACCCCCGGACUGCUCUGGAAACUGCCAGGCUGGAGUGCGGGAGGGGCAAGUGGAAUUCCUGGUGUAGCGGUGAAAUGCGUAGAUAUUAGGAGGAACACCAGUGGCGAAGGCGGCUUGCUGGACUGUAACUGACGUCGAGGCUCGAAAGCGUGGGGAGCAAACAGGAUUAGAUACCCGUGUAGUC